GGCUCAGGACGAACGCUGGCGGCGUGCCUAACACAUGCAAGUCGUACGCGGUGGCUUGCCACCGAGUGGCGAACGGGUGCGUAACACGUGAGGAACCCACCCCGACGUGGGGGAUAACACCGGGAAACCGGUGCUAAUACCGCAUGUGCUCCCCUGACCGCAUGGUCGAGGGAGCAAAGCCUUCGGGCGCGACGGGACGGCCUCGCGGCCUAUCAGCUUGUUGGUGGGGUAACGGCCCACCAAGGCGACGACGGGUAGCUGGUCUGAGAGGACGAUCAGCCACACUGGGACUGAGACACGGCCCAGACUCCUACGGGAGGCAGCAGUGGGGAAUAUUGCGCAAUGGGCGAAAGCCUGACGCAGCAACGCCGCGUGGAGGACGAAGGCCUUCGGGUUGUAAACUCCUUUCAGCAGGGACGAAACUGACGGUACCUGCAGAAGAAGCCCCGGCUAACUACGUGCCAGCAGCCGCGGUAAGACGUAGGGGGCGAGCGUUGUCCGGAUUUACUGGGCGUAAAGAGCUCGUAGGCGGCUUGGCAAGUCGGAUGUGAAAUCACCAGGCUCAACCUGGUGUCGCCAUCCGAUACUGCCAUGGCUUGAGUCCGGUAGAGGAUCGUGGAAUUCCUGGUGUAGCGGUGAAAUGCGCAGAUAUCAGGAGGAACACCAAUGGCGAAGGCAGCGAUCUGGGCCGGUACUGACGCUGAGGAGCGAAAGCGUGGGGAGCGAACAGGAUUAGAUACCCUGGUAGUCCACGCCCUAAACGUUGGGCACUAGGUGUGGGGCCUCAUUCGACGGGCUCCGUGCCGACGCUAACGCAUUAAGUGCCCCGCCUGGGGAGUACGGCCGCAAGGCUAAAACUCAAAGGAAUUGACGGG
rnacentral:rRNA from 1 species